rnacentral:rRNA from 1 species
GUAGGUGGCAAGCGUUGUCCGGAAUUAUUGGGCGUAAAGCGCGCGCAGGCGGUCCUUUAAGUCUGACGUGAAAGCCCACGGCUCAACCGUGGAGGGUCAUUGGAAACUGGGGGACUUGAGUACAGAAGAGGAAAGCGGAAUUCCAAGUGUAGCGGUGAAAUGCGUAGAGAUUUGGAGGAACACCAGUGGCGAAGGCGGCUUUCUGGUCUGUAACUGACGCUGAGGCGCGAAAGCGUGGGGAGCAAACAGGAUUAGAUACCCUGGUAGUCCACGCCGUAAACGAUGAGUGCUAAGUGUUAGGGGGUUUUCCCGCCCCCCUUAGUGCUGCAGCUAACGCAUUAAGCACUCCGCCUGGGGGAGUACGGCCGCAAGGCUG